GGGGAUAACUACUGGAAACGGUGGCUAAUACCGCAUAACGUCGCAAGACCAAAGAGGGGGACCUUCGGGCCUCUUGCCAUCAGAUGUGCCCAGAUGGGAUUAGCUUGUUGGUGAGGUAACGGCUCACCAAGGCGACGAUCCCUAGCUGGUCUGAGAGGAUGACCAGCCACACUGGAACUGAGACACGGUCCAGACUCCUACGGGAGGCAGCAGUGGGGAAUAUUGCACAAUGGGCGCAAGCCUGAUGCAGCCAUGCCGCGUGU
rnacentral:rRNA from 1 species